rnacentral:lncRNA from 1 species
CCUCACGAUCCCUUAUUUUAUCAUAUUUUACUAGACCUCCAGUAGUAGGGUUAAUAGUUGUUUGACUUUCAUCCCCAUUAUUGCCUCAUUCUAUGGGAUCGUCAGAUCUCAUAUGUCUACUAAGUGUCUCGGUCCCCCCUAAAUUUCCUCCGGUCAAAUGUUUAAAAGUUUCUUUACAAAGUUUGCACUUAACUCUAUCAGUACCUUCUAUUAUUUCAAAAAAUUUCCAAACCGGACUUCUUUUUUUACGAGUAGAAGUUGGAGCCACUGGUUCCUCCGGUCAAAUGUUUAAAAGUUUCUUUACAAAGUUUGCACUUAACUCUAUCAGUACCUUCUAUUAUUUCCAUACCGGAC